UGUGUCGGGUGUGCGCGCGUGUGUGUCGGGUGCGUGUCUGUGUGCGCGCUUGUGCGUGUGUUUGCGUGUGUUUGCGUGUGUUUGUGUGUGUUUGUGUGGGGUGUGCGUGGCUCAGGCGCCCCCUCCCCUCCCCCUACACGUUGAUCUUAUUCGAUCGGCCGGGCCCCGCCGGGCCGAGGUGAGAAGAAGACGCCGCGAAGCCCCCGGGCGCUGUGCGGCAGGGCCGGGCGGGAUGAGUCGAUCAGAUAGGCGAGGCCGCGGCCGCUGAGCGCCCUGCGAUUCUGACCCGC